rnacentral:rRNA from 1 species
CUCAACUGUAAAACUGCCAUUGAUACUGAUAGUCUUGAAUUUAGUUGAGGUAGGCGGAAUGUGUUGUGUAGCGGUGAAAUGCAUAGAUAUAACACAGAACACCGAUUGCGAAGGCAGCUUACUAAGCUAUAAUUGACGCUGAUGCACGAAAGCGUGGGGAGCGAACAGGAUUAGAUACCCUGGUAGUCCACGCCGUAAACGAUGAUUACUCGUUGUUGGCAAUACAUCGUCAGCGACUGAGCGAAAGCAUUAAGUAAUCCACCUGGGGAGUACGUUGGCAACAAUGAAACUCAAAGGAAUUGACGGGGGCCCGCACAAGCGGAGGAACAUGUGGUUUAAUUCGAUGAUACGCGAGGAACCUUACCUGGACUUAAAUGUAGAUUGCAUAGAGCAGAGAUGCUCUUUUCUUCGGACUAUUUACAAGGUGCUGCAUGGUUGUCGUCAGCUCGUGCCGUGAGGUGUCGGGUUAAGUCCCAUAACGAGCGCAACCCCUGUUGUUAGUUACCAGCACGUCAAGGUGGGGACUCUAACAAGACUGCCGGUGUAAACCGCGAGGAAGGUGGGGAUGACGUCAAAUCAGCACGGCCCUUACGUCCAGGGCUACACACGUGUUACAAUGGCAGGUACAAAGGGCAGCUACACAGCGAUGUGAUGCUAAUCUCUAAAGCCUGUCUCAGUUCGGAUCGGAGUCUGCAACUCGACUCCGUGA